CCUGCCUCUCCCACCCACUUUCUCAAAAUAAAUAAUAAAUGAACAGUAAAAACAUACUUUGGCACUGGCUGUGUGAGAGGUGUGUUUGGGUAAGUGAGACAUCAGCCUGCACCCUGGGGGGUGCAUCUAGUCAAGGGUGCAAUUCUGCAAGACCCCAGUUGGGAGCCACUGUCCGGAAUCCUGUUGCUAGUCUGCACAACCUUAGGGGUACCACUCAAAGACAAUAGGAGUUGUGCUCCAGAAGUAAGGCAAUACAUCUGCCUGGGUCCAGCAGUGACUGAGGUGAAGGUUUUCUGAUAUCACAAUCAGAAUGUGGAGGGUCCUCCUUCAGUGUAAGGGAUGUUGGAAAUAAUGAGAAUGUUAGCGUGACUGUAUUUGUAACUGCCUGCUAAUAAGUGUUUCCAUGGUGACAGAAUUCUUCUAAGACUUGGCUUUCAUUGAAAGAGUCACCUGGCAGUGAGGAUGUACUUUGUAUUCUGGAUAUCACUCUUUCUCCAGGAGGAGCUGGAAAGAUUCACCUCUGACGUUGAAUGAUUUUACUUGUAUUGUGAGAGCUGUGUGGCAUAGCUGAGUCACAGCAAAUACAGUGUCUGGUCUCAUUGCCCCCAUCGACCUUGUGAGCUGGGGCCCCAAGAACAUAGCCUCAAUUUCCUCUUCUGAAAAAUGAGGACAUUAAUUUUUGCCUGCCUUCUUCACAGAGUUCAAAGGAAUGUAAAAGCACGAUGAACACCAUAAGGAAUCAUAAAGCACGAGCUCCUGAAUCCUGUGAGUUUUUUUGUGAAUCAUCAAGCCCGGGGGUGGUUUGGGGGCUCCUGACACAGCUGGCCAAGCAGACUCUCACAGAUCCUCUUCUCCCAGAUGGCACACAUUUCUAAAAUGGAAGCCCUGAGGCACGAUUCAUUGAAACUCAUUCUCAUCCGUUACAUUGCAUUAAAAUCUUGA